rnacentral:tRNA from 1 species
GAUAUAGCUCAGUUGGUAGAGUGUUUGCCUCACAUGCACAAGGCCCUUGAUUCAAUCCUAGCAAAACA